AUUGAAGCAACUGUGACUGAGCGGCGGACGGGUGAGUAACGCGUGGAUAACCUGCCUCACACUGGGGGAUAACAGUUAGAAAUGACUGCUAAUACCGCAUAAGCCCACGGGUCGGCAUCGACCUGAGGGAAAAGGAGCAAUCCGCUUUGAGAUGGCCUCGCGUCCGAUUAGCUAGUUGGUGAGGUAACGGCCCACCAAGGCAACGAUCAGUAGCCGGUCUGAGAGGAUGAACGGCCACAUUGGGACUGAGACACGGCCCAGACUCC
rnacentral:rRNA from 1 species